UACGGGGGGGGCAAGCGUUGUUCGGAAUUACUGGGCGUAAAGGGCUUGUAGGCGGCCAACUAGGUCCGACGUGAAAUCCCCAGGCUUAACCUGGGAACUGCGUCGGAUACUGGAUGGCUUGAAUUCGGGAGAGGGAUGCAGAAUUCCAGGUGUAGCGGUGAAAUGCGUAGAUAUCUGGAGGAAUACCGGUGGCGAAGGCGGCAUCCUGGACCGACAUUGACGCUGAGGAGCGAAAGCUAGGGGAGCAAACGGG
rnacentral:rRNA from 1 species